CUAUUUUCUUCGGCAUGUAUGUGUUCAACUCUAAAUGUGCUACUCCGUAUUUUCUUUUGUUCUGUGUUGGCUAGACUGAGUGCCUAAAACUCUAAGCCUUUGGCUCCGUUUCAAUUUAAAUUCAGGUAGCGGCCUCACCUUCCGACUUCGUUAAAAAUAAAAGAAAAACCGAGCUCUCGCCGCAUUCAUGGAUGUCUAUUCAUCCAGCGGAACCACACUGAGACGCUGGCACACGGACCAGUUUAAACUCCCAACGCAUCCCAUUUCUAGAGUACCUUGCUCUGGCGUCGUGCGCCUGUCGCUCGCUUUGUUUUGUGGGUGGUCGGACAAUUGUGCUUGCUGCCUGAUGAGCCGGGCUCCGAAUGGCUCCUUCUUAUAACAGCUCAAAAUAACAUACUCGUACUAGCAAAAAUAUAUAAAAACACCGAGAAAUUGAUGACAGCCUGUUUAACAGUGAACCCAACCAUGAAAGGACAAAAGAGAAAAUAUAACGUGCCACGUGAAAAAAAAAGGCCCAUGACGGCGAGCGAUCAUCAAUGGUCGUCCCGUCUGACAUGCAUUAUUCAGAAGCCUC
rnacentral:lncRNA from 1 species